UAAUGGAAUAGGACUACGGUCUCUUCUGUUGGUUUUCGGAACUGAGGCCAUGAUUAAGAGGGACGGGCGGGGGCAUUCGUAUUGCGCCGCUAGAGGUGAAAUUCUUGGGCCGGCGCAGUUCGGACCAGAGUGAAAGCAUUUGCCAAGAAUGUUUUCACUAAUCAAGAACGAAAGUCGGAGGUUCGAAGAUGAUCAGAUACAGUCGUAGUUCCGACCAUAAACGAUGGCAACUGGCGAUGUGGCGGCGUUAUUCCCAUGACCCGCUGGGCAGCUUCCAAGAAACCAAAGUCUUUGGGUUUUUAGGUUCCGGGGGGAGUAUGGUUGCAAAGCUGAAACUUAAAGGAAUUGGUGGAAGGGACCAGCAGGAGUGGCGCCUAUGGCUUAAUUUGACUCAACAUGGGAAAAAUCACCCGGACGGACAUGGACAGGAUUGACAGAUUGAUAGCUCUUUCUCUGUUCCAUGGGUGGUGGUGCAUGGCCUUAGUUGGUGGAGUGAUUUGUCUGGUUAAUUCCGAUAACCAACGAGACUCUGGCAUGCUAACUAGUUACGCGACCCCUGAGCGUCGGCGUCCCCCAACUUCUUAGAGGGACAAGUGGCGUUCAGCCACCGGAAAUUGAGCAAUAACAGGUCUGUGAUGCCCUUAGAUGUACGGGGCUGCACGUGCACUACACUGACUGGCUCA
rnacentral:rRNA from 1 species